UUAUCAUCUCAAGUACCUUUUUCGCGAGAACCGCAGAUGGAAACAACACCCCAAUCGAGACAGUAGUUAAGCUUCGCUGUACCGAGGAUAAAAUUUGUGUCGAGUUUCAUUACCAAUCUUCUACCACCAUGAAUCUAUUUCAGGCUAGGUAUGUUUCAUUAUAGAGGCAUCAUAUUGGUCCGGUGAGUACUUCUCUCUCGACGAGAUUGUCUACCGUAGUUGUUCAC
rnacentral:lncRNA from 1 species